rnacentral:rRNA from 1 species
GACGAACGCUGGCGGCGUGCCUAAUACAUGCAAGUUGAGCGCUGAAGGUUGGUACUUGUACCAACUGGAUGAGCAGCGAACGGGUGGGUAACGCGUGGGGAAUCUGCCUUUGAGCGGGGGACAACAUUUGGAAACGAAUGCUAAUACCGCAUAAAAACUUUAAACACAAGUUUUAAGUUUGAAAGAUGCAAUUGCAUCACUCAAAGAUGAUCCCGCGUUGUAUUAGCUAGUUGGUGAGGUAAAGGCUCACCAAGGCGAUGAUACAUAGCCGACCUGAGAGGGUGAUCGGCCACAUUGGGACUGAGACACGGCCCAAACUCCUACGGGAGGCAGCAGUAGGGAAUCUUCGGCCAUGGACGAAAGUCUGACCGAGCAACGCCGCGUGAGUGAAGAAGGAUUUCGGAUCGUAAAACUCUGUUGGUAGAGAAGAACGUUGGUGAGAGUGGAAAGCUCAUCAAGUGACGGUAACUACCCAGAAAGGGACGGCUAACUACGUG